rnacentral:tRNA from 1 species
GGAAGGAUAGCUCAGUGGUUAAGAGCACUGGAUGUUCUUCCAGAGGACCUGAGUUCAAUUCCCAGCACCCA